AGGUUUCCCGAAAAUAACGUUCCCACAAAAGCUUAUAUAAGACACAUCUCUGGGCAUCCUUCCCUGCUGGGCAUCAUGUGCUUCAUCCUUCCCUUUGCAUUAAGGGCUGGAUUAAAAACACGGGGCUUUCUUCUGGUUUUAGGCAGGUGAUCCUGUGUGUGGCUUCUGAAGCAGCACCACCAAAGGAGGUAAAACAAAAGAUACUCAUUGAGAAGGCGAUGGUGAAGAGAGAAAUGGCGCUGGGGGUGCUUUUCGCUGUCACUCUGCCUCUUGGUUCAUAUGUAAAUUUUGGCCAUAGGCAGAGUUGGACACAAGCCAGGCCUUCUGGAGCCAGGAACAAAAAGGGGCAUUCCUGACUUUCUCCAGCCCAGCAGCACAGGAGAGAGCUGGCAGCUAUCAGUGACCUGCACAGGGAACGCCCUGGGAGCAGAGGCAAAGAAGAGGACGUCGAUCAGGUCGGAGGCUGGGCCACCCCGGUACUGCUUGAGUGCAGUUAGAGCUCUGCCAAAGAAGGGAAGAUCCAGGUUACAGGCACAGCAGGAGUUCUCUGGAGACUCCCAAGUGCCCAGAGACAAGCUGAUGGAAAAGGCCCCAGAGAGAACCCAGAGUAUUCCAGAGGCAAUGCAAUGGGACCAAACCACAGCCUGGAGGGGGAAAGGGAAGAGCAGGACCAGCCAGCAGGAGUGUCACUGACCAGGCCCAAAGCUGUUGGAGGGCAGCUCGGUGUCCGAGUCCCGCUUCCUGGGCUGGAAUGUCACGAGGAGAC